UAGGGAAUAUUGGACAAUGGGGGCAACCCUGAUCCAGCCAUGCCGCGUGAGUGAAGAAGGCCCUCGGGUUGUAAAGCUCUUUUGUCCGGAAAGAAAAGCUUCGGGUUAAUACCCCGGGGUUCUGACGGUACCGGAAGAAUAAGCACCGGCUAACUUCGUGCCAGCAGCCGCGGUAAUACGAAGGGUGCAAGCGUUACUCGGAAUUACUGGGCGUAAAGCGUGCGUAGGUGGUUGUUUAAGUCUGAUGUGAAAGCCCUGGGCUCAACCUGGGAAUGGCAUUGGAAACUGGGCAGCUAGAGUGCGGUAGAGGGUAGUGGAAUUCCCGGUGUAGCAGUGAAAUGCGUAGAGAUCGGGAGGAACACCAGUGGCGAAGGCGGCCUUCUGGACCAGUACUGACGCUCAUGCACGAAAGCGUGGGGAGCAAACA
rnacentral:rRNA from 1 species